rnacentral:rRNA from 1 species
UACGUAGGUGGCAAGCGUUGUCCGGAUUUACUGGGCGUAAAGAGCGCGCAGGCGGUCGGAUUAGUCGCGUGUGAAAGCCCCCGGCUCAACUGGGGAGGGUCACGCGAUACUGUUCGACUCGAAGGCAGGAGAGGGAAGUGGAAUUCCCGGUGUAGUGGUGAAAUGCGUAGAUAUCUGGAGGAACACCGGUGGCGAAGGCGACGUCCUGGACCGGCAUUGACGCUGAGGCGCGAAAGCCAGGGGAGCAAACGGG